AAAAAAGUUUUCUAGGGUUCCGCAGUCUAACUGGUCUGGUCCGAGAGAAAACACACAAGUAAUUGUGUACACGGUAGGAUAAAAGCCUAGGAGUU
rfam:Enterococcus asini ATCC 700915 genomic scaffold acvKe-supercont1.3, whole genome shotgun sequence.